rnacentral:rRNA from 1 species
GGAGAGAGACAUGCGCGCAUAUCAAUAAGCGGAGGAAAAGAAACUAACAAGGAUUCCCUUAGUAACGGCGAGUGAAGCGGGAAGAGCUCAAAUUUGAAAUCUUCAAGGUUUUACCUUGACGAAUUGUAGUUUAAAGAAGUGUUUUCUGCUGAAGUUUUGGUAAAAGUUCUUUGGAAUAGGACAUCAUAGAGGGUGAGAAUCCCGUAUUUGACCAUUAUUUUCAGCUUCGUGAUACACUUUCAAAGAGUCGGAUUGUUUGGGAAUGCAGUCCAAAAUGGGUGGUAAAUUUCAUCUAAAGCUAAAUAUUGGCGAGAGGACCGAUAGCGAACAAGUACCGUGAGGGAAAGAUGAAAAGAACUUUGAAAAGAGAGUUAAACAGUACGUGAAAUUGUCAAAAGGGAAGCGUUUGACACCAGUGUUGUUUUCUCGAAAAUCAAUUAAAAAUGGCUCGAUUUUGUAUUGUUGAGACCUUAAAAGCUCACUGUACAUUUUUCGUGUCUUUUUUAAUGCACUUUUCGUUUAACAAGUCAACAUCAGUUUCUUUUGUUGUAAAAGGGUCAUUGGAAGGUGGCUUUCUUUUCGGAGAAAGUGUUUAUAGCCUUUGGCCUCUGCAAUCGGAGAGACUGAGGUCUGCAGCGUAGACUCUUCGGGGUUAGAUACAUUUGUGCUAAGUUAUAGCUUUUUAUAGACAACUUGUUGACUAUAAUUAGUCUUGUAGCUUACUCGCUUAUGCUAUUUUACCUACGCUUAGGAUGUUGAGUCGUAGAGCACGCAG